AUUGAACGCUGGCGGCAGGCCUAACACAUGCAAGUCGAGCGGCAGCGGGAAAGUAGCUUGCUACUUUUGCCGGCGAGCGGCGGACGGGUGAGUAAUGCCUGGGAAAUUGCCCAGUCGAGGGGGAUAACAGUUGGAAACGACUGCUAAUACCGCAUACGCACUACGGGGGAAAGCAGGGGACCUUCGGGCCUUGCGCGAUUGGAUAUGCCCAGGUGGGAUUAGCUAGUUGGUGAGGUAAUGGCUCACCAAGGCGACGAUCCCUAGCUGGGCUGAGAGGAUGAUCAGCCACACUGGAACUGAGACACGGUCCAGACUCCUACGGGAGGCAGCAGUGGGGAAUAUUGCACAAUGGGGGAAACCCUGAUGCAGCCAUGCCGCGUGUGUGAAGAAGGCCUUCGGGUUGUAAAGCACUUUCAGCGAGGAGGAAAGGUUGUUGGCUAAUAUCCAACAGCGGUGACGUUACUCGCAGAAGAAGCACCGGCUAACUCCGUGCCAGCAGCCGCCGUAACAC
rnacentral:rRNA from 1 species